AAAAAAAGGCCCAUGCUGUAGAACUGGCCGGUGAUGUCUUUGGUUGUCAUGAGGCUGGCCGGUGAGAAUGCCACGUUGCCGGAGCCAAAUGAGCCCGGCGUAAACCUGCGGAGGAACAUGACAGAUACAGGAUUUUCUGAAAAUGAAAGCGAGUUCACCAUGACUACGACAGAUACUAGAUAAGCGGAAGCCGUGUUCGGAGCCACCAACAGUGUCUUCCUUGGAUUCGUUCGUGCAAUAAGGAGGGUACCCGGCCUUCUUCACGUGUCGAGCAACAAGGGUGAUCGAGGAGGAUUUUCGUGGCCCGGUGGGUGUCGUGCUCUUCAACCACUUGGAGGCGGACUUCACCGUGAAGCCUAGUGACUACUGC